CCUGGCCUCAAGCGAUCCUCCUUCCUCGGCCUCUCAAAGUGCUGGUAUCACGGGUGAGAGCCACCGCGCCCGGUCAGUGCAGGACUUUUCAUCUGUCUCUGUUGCAUUUUAUUUUGGCCUCUCUGUGGGGGGGAGUCCACCACUACUCCUCCAAUACCUGCUCCCCCUUCCUCUUUUGUGUGUGUGAACAGCAGCUUCUAGGUACCUCGAAUCGGGCCCUACUGAGGACGUGGAACAGGACAUCGUGUCAGUUCUUAUCACCAGGGCUUAUCUCGAAGGCUCAUCUUUGCUGUGUGUUCCCAGCAGCUCACUGGCAUUGCCAGGGUGCAGAGAAGCUGCCUGGACUGCGAAGGGCCCUCUUUGCAAAGCUCUCGUGUACCUGGUGCUGCUCAGGGCGGAGACCAGGAUCUUAUCUCCUGAUCCUCUCACGGCAUCUGCAGGUUGUGCUGAGACAGGAAGGGGCCAGACCUGCUACCCCCGGGAGGGGGAGGGGAGAGCAGGAGACAACAGCCCCCUCCUUCCUCAGGCCCCCGCCAGCACCCAUAGCAUGUUCUCCUGCCUCACGCAAGCCAAGGAAGGGGUCGGGGUGGGCUGGGAAAUGAACAUCUGAACCAGGUGGGAGGUAGACACCCCAAGAAGGGGACACGGUGUCUCACACCCCCUCUCACCCUCACGCCAAUGUCACUAUGUGAUAGUAGCAAUGCUUCUUGAACUCCAGUGAACAGCGGGAUCACAGAGCGGUGUUAAAGCGCAGAUUAUCCAGUGGGUUUGGGCUGGGCCAUAAAUUUGCAUUUCUAACAAGCUUGCAGGUGCUGCUGCUCGUCUGAGGACCAUACUUUGAGGAGCAGCGUCCUGUAGGAUGGAACGAGCAAUGCAUGAAGAGCUUUCCUUCUUUGCCUUCCACGCAAAGAGCAGGGGCUGAGUUCACCUUCCUCCUAUCGUUUAUUCACCACGUUUUUAUUGCAUGUUUACUCCAGGACAGGCACUAGAGUAGUGGGGCCCGUGUCCCCCCGCCUGGAACCUGGAUGGAUCUUUGUGACAGCCUCGGCCAAAGGAGUACGGCAGAACUGUCGCUGUGUGACUUCUGAGGCUAGAUUAUAAGAAUGCCGUGCACCUCCACCUGGCUCUCACAGACGGGAUCUGGCUCUGGGAACUCCCCUGACGUGUUGUGAGGGAGCCCAAAUCACUCCCCGUGGAGAGGCCAGUGAAGGUGUUCCAGCCGACAACCCACGUCGCCUGCCAGGCACGAGUGACAGUGCUUCCACAUGAUUCUAGCUCCCACUCAUCAGGUCACUCCCAACUCUGAGUCUUCCCAGCAAGGGUCCCAGAAAUCGUGGAGCAGAGAUAACCUCUGCUUGCUAUGCCCUAAGUUUUGAGCCACACAAUCCAUGAGCAUAAUAACAUGGUUGUUUCACACCACUAAGUUUUGGGGUGAUUUAUGACACAGCAGUAGUGACUGGUGCAGAAAGUGUUUGCUAACAAUCGGGUGUCUAUCUCAAGAGGGAAAGUCUUGUGGGUUCUUUGCACCCUUUUGUGGGGCAAAUAUGAUUGACAGGGAUGACGCCCGAUCAUGGCUCUUUUACUUCUUCACAGGCAGGUUGGAUGGACAAGCCCUUCCUUGUUCUUUAGUUACAAUAUGUUAAUAUAUUUUACUUGCCUAUUGGUUGUCCACUUCCCACUGUACACAUGCUCCUCAACUUACAAUGGGGCUGUGUCCCAACAAAUCCAUUGUAAAUUGAAAGUAUCAUAAGUCAAAAAGUGCAUUUAAUACCCCAAUAAACCCAUUGUAAAGUGGAAAAAUCAUAAAGUUGAACCAUCAUAAAUCAAGAACCGCCUGUACUUGGUACUUAGUAGUUGCUCAAUAAAUAAUUGUCACAUGA